GAGUACGGCCGCAAGGCUAAAACUCAAAGGAAUUGACGGGGACCCGCACAAGCGGCGGAGCAUGCGGAUUAAUUCGAUGCAACGCGAAGAACCUUACCAAGGCUUGACAUACACGAGAACACCCUAGAAAUAGGGGACUCUUUGGACACUCGUGAACAGGUGGUGCAUGGUUGUCGUCAGCUCGUGUCGUGAGAUGUUGGGUUAAGUCCCGCAACGAGCGCAACCCUCGUUCUAUGUUGCCAGCACGUAAUGGUGGGAACUCAUGGGAUACUGCCGGGGUCAACUCGGAGGAAGGUGGGGAUGACGUCAAAUCAUCAUGCCCCUUAUGUCUUGGGCUUCACGCAUGCUACAAUGGCCGGUACAAAGGGCUGCAAUACCGUGAGGUGGAGCGAAUCCCAAAAAGCCGGUCCCAGUUCGGAUUGAGGUCUGCAACUCGACCUCAUGAAGUCGGAGUCGCUAGUAAUCGCAGAUCAGCAACGCUGCGGUGAAUACGUUCCCGGGUCUUGUACACACCGCCCGUCAAGUCAUGAAAGUCGGUAACACCUGAAGCCGGUGGCCCAACCCUUGUGGAGGGAGCCGUCGCAAGG
rnacentral:rRNA from 1 species